rnacentral:lncRNA from 1 species
AACUCAGGUUGCCUGGCUUGCUUGGCGAGCUUAGUGUCUUUGCCGAGGGAGCCAUGUCACAGCCUCACAAGACCAUUUUUCCAGGAAGAAGCCUUCACUUGGAGUUAAUUUAUAUAAUCUUGUGAGAAUGAAUUAAGAGAAUUCAUUGUGUCCUCCUAUACACAAGAUUAAAAGCACCAAGUUUAUAUACAAUAGCAGGCAAAGACACUGGCUGCCAAUGACCUAAGUUCAAUCCCUGGAACCCACGAGGUAGAAAGAGAGAUCGUCUGAGAGUUAGCCCCUGGGCUCCACCAUGGCAUACACGCACACGCACACACACGCACACACAUGUGUACCUUCUCACAACUAUAAAUAUAGUAACACUCUAAUAUGAUGGAUGUGGACAAAUUGCAAAUCUACAAGAAUAAAUGUAAUUUUUAAAAAUUAAAAAAGCUGUGAGCAUCCACUUCUGUAUUUGCCAGGCACUGGCAUAGCCUCACAAGAGACAGCUAUAUCAGGGUCCUGUCAGCAAAACCUCACAGUCAUCUAUUGGAUGGAACACAGGGCCCCUAAUGGAGGAGUUAUAGAAAGUACCCAAGGAGCUGAAGGGGUCUGCAACCCUAUUGGAGGAACAACAAUAUGAACUAACCAGUACUCCCAGAGCUCGUGUCUCUAGUUGUAUAUGUAGCAGAAGAUGGCCUAUUCGGCCAUCAAUGAGAGGAGAGGCCCUUGGUCUUGCAAAGAUUAUAUGCACUAGUACAGGGGAAUGCCAGGGCCAGGAAGCAGGAGUGGGUGGGUUGGGGAGCAGGGCAGGGGGGAGGGUAUAGGGGACUCUUGGGAUAGCAUUUGAAAUGUAAAUGAAGAAAAUAUCUAAUAAAAAAUUGUUUUAAAAAAU